GUGGAACGAUUGUAUACACCUUUCUAAUAGUAAGAGAACACACAAAGAUGGCUUUCAACAUUCCAUGAGAUAAAAAACAUCUUUUUGUCUGAAGCAAUAGGUAGAAGGAAAGCAUGAAUUAACUAUGCGAGAUAUAUGUCAUGAGUUUUGGAAAUUUCCUUUCCAGAAUGUCCCAGCAUUCCCUUUGACCUUUCACUUCAAACGUGAUAAUGUGACUUACAUCCUGGUCUUCAUUAGUCAAAGAU